AUACGGAGGAUGCAAGCGUUAUCCGGAUUUAUUGGGUUUAAAGGGUUCGUAGGCGGAAAAUUAAGUCAGUGGUGAAAGCCUGCAGCUCAACUGCAGAACUGCCAUUGAUACUGAUUUUCCUGAAUUUAUAUGAAGUGGGCGGAAUGCGUCAUGUAGCGGUGAAAUGCACAGAUAUGACGCAGAACACCAAUUGCGAAGGCAGCUCACUAAUGUAAUAUUGACGCUGAGGAACGAAAGCAUGGGGAGCGAACAGGAUUAGAUACCCUAGUAGUCC
rnacentral:rRNA from 1 species